ensembl:lncRNA
GUCAGUUCUCGCUUACGGCCAUACCACUCUCACAAAGCCUGAUCUCGUCUGACCUCGGAAGCAAAGCAGAGUUGGGCCUGGUUAGUACUUGGUUGGGAGACUGAUUGGGAAUACUAGGUGCUGUAAGCUUUUUAUUUGGAUCAGUGUUUUCAUGACCUCUGCACAACCUCCUCUUUUGGGAUUAAGAUUGGAUACAGGUUUGAAGGGGACCCAAUCAAUCAAUCAAUCAGUCAGUCAGUCAGUCUUUUGAUUACACUAUUUAAAUAGGCCCCAUUUGGGGUCAGCUUUCGCUUACGGCCAUACCACUCUGACAAAGCCUGAUCUCGUCUGACCUUGGAAGCAAAGCAGAGUUGGGCCUGGUUAGUACUUGGUUGGGAGACUGACUGGGAAUACUAGGUGCUGUAAGCUUUUUAUUUGGAUCAGUGUUUUCAUGACCUCUGCACAACAUCCUCUUUUGGGAUUAAGAUUGGAUACAGGUUUGAAGGGGACCCAAUCAAUCAAUCAGUC